rnacentral:lncRNA from 1 species
UUAUGCUCUAAAUACUUCCUGUGCUGUAAAAAUGCUGCAAAUUAAAUAUCUGAACCCAAGCAGAAGUUGCACCUUGAUUUCAAAUACUGCUGCCCAGGCUGGCCUUGUUUCUUCCUCAAGGAAAAGUAGUCACCAAGACGAAUGCAAAGAGGAUCACUGUGUGUGUGACUGCCAGUGACUGAAGAGUGCAUGCCCAAGACAACCUCAGCUGCAAAACCUCUUGGAAAGCACAGCAUUUCAGAAAGGUCCUGAGGAAGGAUAUGACAAGGUUCUGCAAGAUGUGAUGUCUGGUAGGUGGCCUGUUUC